UACGAAGGGGGCUAGCGUUGUUCGGAAUUACUGGGCGUAAAGGGCGCGUAGGCGGUACUUCAAGUCAGGCGUGAAAGCCCCGGGCUCAACCUGGGAACCGCGCUUGAGACUGGAGAACUCGAGUUCGGGAGAGGAUGGUGGAAUUCCCAGUGUAGAGGUGAAAUUCGUAGAUAUUGGGAAGAACACCGAUGGCGAAGGCAGCCAUCUGGACCGACACUGACGCUGAGGCGCGAAAGCGUGGGGAGCAAACAGG
rnacentral:rRNA from 1 species